CCUACGGGGGGCAGCAGUGAGGAAUAUUGGUCAAUGGACGAGAGUCUGAACCAGCCAAGUAGCGUGAAGGAUGACUGCCCUAUGGGUUGUAAACUUCUUUUAUAUGGGAAUAAAAUGUUCCACGUGUGGGAUUUUGUAUGUCCCAUAUGAACAAGGACCGGCUAACACCGUGCCAGCAGCCGCGGUAAUACGGAGGAUCCGAGCGUUAUCCGGAUUUAUUGGGUUUAAAGGGAGCGUAGUGGGAUUGUUAAGUCAGUUGUGAAAGUUUGCGGCUCAACCGUAAAAUUGCAGUUGAAACUGGCAGUCUUGAGUACAGUAGAGGUGGGCGGAAUUCGUGGUGUAGCGGUGAAAUGCUGAGAUAUCACGAAGAACUCCGAUUGCGAAGGCAGUUCACUGGACUGCAACUGACACUGAGGCUCGAAAGUGUGGGUAUCAAACAGGAUUAGAUACCCCAGUAGUC
rnacentral:rRNA from 1 species